ACCUGAGCAGGGAGAAGGAUCUUUCUCCUGCCAUCACUGGUUCUGAGGCUGCUACUCAGGAAAGAGAUUUCUAUACAGUCUUGCAUUCAUCAGAGAGACCAUUAUUGAAGCUGCUGCCAUCCUGUGAUAUAAAAGGAACCAGAAGCCCCAUAAACAAAAGAGGUUGACACUUCCUUUCUGAAGACUGUUACUUUGACAAAUCAAAUGCUUCAAUGCUUAACAACGUCAGAAAAACUUCUUGCUGGAAAGCUAAAGUGGCAUGGCAAAGUGGUGCCUGCUACUGCUUGUGGUGAGAUCACCAAAAGAGUUCACACCUCCAGUUAAGAUUUAGUUGCACCAACUACAGUAUCACAGUUAGUGUUGUGCAAAUAUUAGGGAAACUGUAAGAAUGCAUUAACUUGCAGCAGAAAAUAUUUCCUUUUUGUAGGCAAAUUCAGAAAAUUAGCUGUUUCUACUUGUAACUGAAAAGUACCAGUUUUUUGGUAAUCAAAGCAUUACAAGGCUGAGCAAGAGCCAAAAUCAAAAAGAAAUGUCACCUCUCUUAAGAAAGGUUUCAGACCAAACCCUUUUCCCAUAACAAAUGCAUACAACACAUUUGCAU